GGGCGGGCGGAGAGAACGGGGGACUGAAGUGGGGAGCUGAGGGGAGGGGAAAAUCGUGGAAGUCGACGUGCGCUGAUCGCGACGUAACGGAGAAGAGAAGAGACACGAGAGUUUGAGGCUAGCGCGCAGACGAUCAACACACGAAUAACAGCUCUUAUAUAAAUUUGUCGAGCGGUCGAGCGAUCACGAAAUGGUCACGAGCAGGUCAAACGAGAUACGGAAGUUUUGAAAAAAGUCUCCGAAAAUCACGGGGAAUGUCGACGGUUGGAAAAACGCGAAUGAGAACAUCUUUCGAACGACUCGAUCCAGAUCGACACCGUUUUCUCAGCGAAUCACUCUCGGGACGUUCGUCCAGUCCCAUUCGAUUCAACGCACGUGGAGCGAGGGCCCUCAGCGCGGAGACCGAGAUAUUUGAAUACCGAAGAUUUUUAUCUCAGAAAAAAUCUUUUCACGAGUCAACUCCAGCGUGAAAGGAAGCUCGGACUCCGGAGUUUUCGCUUCGCUCGGAAUGCCCCGUACAUAUAAUUGUGUAUACAUAUAAAGCCGCAUACGUAUAUCCGUAUAAUUGUAGAUGGAGCCUUUUGGCGCGUGCUCGACCAACUCAAUUGAGUCAUCCGUGCACACGGCGUGCAAAAGAAGGAGAUCGCCUAGCUUCUAUAGAUAUGAGUGUAAAUUUAUGUGAGCUACAUGUGUAUAGGUCGGCGGUGAAAAAUUUUUUCUGCAAUCCCGGCGACUCGGAGUCUCCCGAAUCGCUGACACGAUUUUCCCUGACGUCAGACACACGAGCAGAAGUGAACGCCUCGAGGGGUGCGCGAACUCCGAUGACUCGUUUUCCAAGAUUAACAUUUCGAAUUCUUCAUAUUUACGGAUCGGUGGAAACUCGGAUUCUGGACGAGCUCGUUUCGCAAGAGGAAGCAACCGAUUCGCUCACUAAAUAUUUUUCACUGGAAGCCUUCCAGGAAAACCAAAUUCCGGGAAUAAAUACACGUUAAUGAUGAUGAUUCAGGGUCCAUCGAGAAGUUUCUACCGAUGAUUCUCGUCGGUUUGGGUUCAGCGAAAUCGAUUUUUCAAAGUACCGAUAGCGGCGACAAUGAAAUCUUCGUUUUGUCAGUUUUUACUCUCAAAUGAAAGUCGCUAUUGAGCUAUUAGCGAUAAUAAUUGGUAUCGAUUUAACGAGCUGAGCUCGAAUGCUCAACCGCCAACCUUCCGAAGAGCGCGCGUGCGCGAUAAAACCAUUUUCCUGUUAAUUCGAUAAGAGUUUCGAUGGAAAUCGAUAAGAGCUCGAGGGAUUGAGCGAGAGUUGUCAAUUGUCAUGAUUUUUUAUUGCUCCUUCCAACUGCGAGGCCCGACGAGCCAUUAGCAGGAAGUGUUCGAGCCAUGGUGCACGAUCCACAGGCUCUCGACCGAGGGAAUAAAACCGUCAGAAGACUCGAGGGAAACCUGUGACAGGGAAAAGGAAAUCAGGCGGUUGAGAAGUUGACAGUCGCCUUGAUUCCUCCCGUGAAUCAUUUUCAUCACGAUUUUAUCUUCUCCGUACAUUUUCUUUGUUUUAUCGCUCGUCGAACCGAUUCUUAUCGAUUUUUAUGAAGCUUUUCCCUCUCAUUUUUACCCAAUUUCGUUCUAAAGAAUCUUAAGUUCUGAUAAGUACUUCACAAAGUGUAAUUAAUCGUCAGAGUCCCUCGCUCGUUUCGAGGAACUCAAUCGUUGUCCACCUCCAUUUACGAUUCCGAUAUUCAGUUUUUCUCAUCACGAUUUCUUCCCUCCUUCCACGUCAUGGAGCUCAGAACAAAUGGAAAGAAAGAUAAUGACUGGAAACUUUCGAACGAAUAUGAAAGUACAACGAAAAAUGGAAUUUUCAUCGUCGCGUCAAUAAAUCUGACUCACUGAACUUUCAAAGGAUGUGUCUCCUCGAAAUAUCGACGACUAGUUUCGUCGGGUACUCCACUUGAAAAAUUCAUCGAUAUUAUGCACAAAUUUCCUGUAAAAAAGGUCGAUUUCAACGCAAAAAUCCCCGUCCUUAAGGUAGACGAUUUUAUGGGUGUCUAAAUUGGGUCGAUUUUUACUUCCUAAUUAAAUAUAUUAUCACUCUGAACUAAUGUCAGAGUUAUUAAUUCAACAUUGUAAACGAAUA